rnacentral:tRNA from 1 species
UCCCAGAUGGCUCAGAGGUUAAAGCAUCUGCCUGCAAUGUGGGAGACCUGGGUUCGAUCCCUGGUCAGGAAG